CUGUUGAGCCUUUCAUUGACUUGGAAUCAAGCUGUAAUAUGGGAUUCAAGUCCUGUACGGGAACAUAUCAUCCUGUGAUCUGAAUGCUAGCCAUCAAGGAUUCCAGUCAUCAGAGGUGUGAAAGAGUAGUCUUCACAGAGAUGUAACCGCUGCCCAAAUAUGCCUCCUCUCCGUGCACAGAAAGGAGGAAGGCAUUCCCACAGAAUGGAGAUGUUCUUCCAGUACACUUGCAGAACCUGGCUUGAGAGUGGAAGAUAGUAAGGCUUGGAGCUGUGAUGUGCAAGCAAGAAGGGGACUGGGAGGAAUGGUGAGGAUCACUCCCAUAGGUGCCAGUGAAGGAGGCUUCAGCAGGGAAAGGAUGGAAGAUCCAGUGGGACAGCUGCUAGCUACCUGCUGUGUGAAGUUUUUUGCCCUUGAGCUUCUUGGGAUUGGUAUUUCAACUAGUAUAACCUAUUGCCAUCAGGACUAGCACCAGCUCUGCUGCUCAGCUGUGAGUUGUAACAACACAUGUAACAGAGAUAACAGUCUUGGGAAAGUCCAAGCAGCAACUACCCACCACAGGGGAUGUGUAUCCCAAUACCUACAGCUUCCGCUAGCCCUCCUCCUUCUUACAUCCCUUCUGCUGAAAAAGAC